AUUGCUUCUUGGCCUUUUGGCUAAGAUCAAGUGUAGAAUAUGUUAAAAACUCUUAUAAGUCAACAACAAAAAGACAACCCAAU
rnacentral:snRNA from 1 species